AGAUGUGAGGGCAAUCUGGCUGCGACAUCUGUCACCCCAUUGAUCGCCAGGGUUGAUUCGGCUGAUCUGGCUGGCUAGGCGGGUGUCCCCUUCCUCCCUCACCGCUCCAUGUGCGUCCCUCCCGAAGCUGCGCGCUCGGUGGAAGAGGACGAUGUCCCAGGUAUAGAAGGAGUGUACCGAGGUCUCCAGUCUUCGGUCCCGGGUAUACGAUAGCUACGCUCCCCUGCUAGAACCUCCGAACAAGAAUAUUUGUAUGUGAGAUGAGGCCCUUGUGCAGGCUUGACAUCUUUUCCU
rfam:Anolis carolinensis chromosome 1, whole genome shotgun sequence.